rnacentral:lncRNA from 1 species
UGACUGUGGGCGAGUCACUUAACUUCUCUGGGCCUCAGUUCCCUCAUCUGUAAAAUGGGGAUUAAAACUGUGAGCCCCACGUGGGACACCCUGAUCACCUUGUAUCCCCCAGCACUUAGAACAGUGCUCUGCACAUAGUAAGCGCUUAACAAAUACCACCAUUUAUUUAUUUUUAUUUUUCAGGAAAAGAGACUGUGGAAGGGAGCCCAGAUAGGGUCAGCCUUGGCCAAUACUGGGAAGCCUUGGAAGUUUUGUCCAGUAACGUGACAUCCGGAUGGCGAGGGUGAAGAAUGAGGUGCAUUCCUGUUUAGAUGUCCUUGUCUCUCUGCUGGCUCUCACCUUGACGGGGUAUAGAGGCAUCUUGGAGGGGACAGCUUGUGUUGACACGCAGCUGCCAUUUGAUAGGAGGUGGGUGGGGCUUUUUCUAACCCUAAUUAUCAUUUGUCACUCUGUGCCAGUCUCUGAGGCUCUGUUCGGACAGGCCGGGGUGAAGGGACGGAAGCUGCAGAGCUGCCUGGGCCUGUUUAGAAAAGUUGGUGUUUUGACCACUGGUGGGCAGGUGGUGACUGCCUGGUCAGGACCCUGGAGGUUGGCCUGGCAGUUUCCAUGAAGUCCCAGGACAUCUUGGUUUAAUGGAAUGAGAAGCAGCAUGGCCUGGUGGAAAGACCUUGGGCCAGGGAGUCAGACGGCCUGGGCUUUAAUACUGGCUCUGCCAAUUGCUUGCUAUGUCACUUUAGGCAAGUUACUUCACUUCUCUGUGCCUCAGUCUCCUCAACUGAAAAGUGGAGACUAAAUCUUACUCCUUCUUACUUAGAUUGUGAGCCCUGUGUGGAACAGAGACUGUGUCCAAUCUAAUUUACUUGUGUCUAUCCCAGAACUUAGAACAGUGCUUGAUACCUAGUAAGUGCUUUACAAAUACCACAACAAUCAUCAUAAUAAUAAUCAUAAUGAUAAUAAUAAUAAAUGGCCAAUCUAAAUCGGUUGUGGAUAUCACCAGUGUAGGUGAUACAACAAAAUAAUGUUACAUUUUCCUCUUAUUAACUUAUUUUCCCUGCUACAUCCUCUGUGAAUUCUGCUCCUCCCAAGCUUGUCUACCCACCAUCCCUUACUUUCGACCGUCUGCCCUGCUGUCUGCCACAUUCUUCCCUAUCUCCUGAAACUCACUCCCCCUUCAAAUUCACCACACCAUGGCCCCUCCACCCCUUUAAAGCUCUCCUGAAAACCCAUCUCCUCCUGGAAGCUUUCCCUGGUUAAUUUUUCUUCUCCCCCCGUCAUCUUAUCUCAACAACUAUCUAAGCACUUCUGUUUAUAAAGCAAUUCUGAGCAGUGUAUAUAUAACCACCCUUAGCACUUAAGUACAGAGCAGCUCAUAUAUUCUACUGUCUAUUCACUUCUUCAUUGAUUUUUCUUUCCGUAUUUCCUUUUUCCUCCCCCUGCUCCCUCGCUUGGUAAAUGAUUUUGUGCUUGCCUGUCUUUUUCUUAGACUGUUUGUUCCUUGAGAGCAGAGACUGCCUUUUAUAUUUAUUGAACUCUCCCAAGCACUUAGUACAGUCUACUGCACACUGUCUCCUUUCAGUAACUACUACUGAUGAUGAUGGUAAUGAUGAUGACAAGAUGAUGUUGACAACAGUUCCUUCGCUAUUGUCUGUGUCCAGAGGGUUGCAGGUACCAUUUAGCUGAGUGGCCUGGUGGAAAGAGCAUGGGUCUGGGAGUCAGAGGACCUGGAUUCUAAUCCUGGCUCUUCCCCUUGCCUGCUGUAUGACCUUGGUGAAGUCUCUGGGCCUUCUCUGGCAACUUCUCUGAGCCUCAGUUCCAUCAUCUGUUAAAUUGGGAUUCAAUAUCUGUUCUCCCUCUUACUUAGACUGUGAGCCUCAUGUGGGAUGUAAUGAUCUUGUAUCUACCCCAGGGCUUAGUACAGUGCUCAGCACAUAGUAGGCACUUCACAAAUACUGUUAUUAUUAAUAAUAACAAUAAUAUUAUUCAGGGUACUAGCUCAAAGCUUGUGAAGUAGCAUGGCCUAGUGGAAAGAGCAUGGGCAGAAAGGCAGAGGCAGAGGACCUGGGUUCUAAUCCCAGGUCCACAACUUGUCUGCUGUGUGACUUUGGACAGGUCACUUCACUUCUCUGUGCCUCAGUUAUCUCAUUUGUAAAAUGGAGAUUAAGACUGUGGGCCUUAUGUAGGGCAGGAACUGUGUCAAACUUAAUUAUCAUGUAUCUAUCUCAGUGGUUAGUACAGUGUCUGGCAUGUAGUGAGUGUCUGGCACAUAGUGGCACAUAAAUGCCACAAUUAUCAUUACUGUGUUUUGCUUUUGGUAUUCUCCCUUCAGAAUUUUCUCACCCCAUACUUUUUUCGAUGUAUAUAUUAAUACCAAGUAUUAAUGGCAUUUGUUAAGUCCUUACUAUGUGCCAAGCACUAUACUAAGUGCUGGGGUAAUUUCAAGAUAAUCAGGUUGGGCAAAGACCAUGUUCCACAUAGGGCUCUCAGUCUUAAUCCCCAUCUCACAGAUGAGAUAACUUAGGCUCCGAGAAGUUAAGUGACUUGCCUAAGGUCAGACAGCGGACAAAUGGCGGAUCUAGGUUUAGAACCCAGGUCCUCUGCCCCAGGCCUGCGGUCUUCCCAUUAGGACAUGUUGCUUCUCAUAUUUGGAAUAAAAUUGCCUGUGUGUUCCAAAAUGCAUGUUUAUGUGGGGUUUCCUCCAAGGCCAAAUCACAGUCACUUUUUUCUUGAAUUAAUAACGGCAUUUAUUGAGCACUUACUGUGUGUGGAGCACUGUACUAACCCCUUGGGAGAGUACAAUACAACAGAAUUAGUAGACACAUCCCCAGCCCACAGGGAGCUUACAGUCUAGAGAAUGCAAUUAUCAGGGUCUUUAUUAAGCAAUGUGACAAACACUGUAAUGAGCCCUGGAACACAGCCCCUAUCCCACAUGGUGUUCCCAAUCUAAGAGGAAAGGAGGAUAGGUAGUUUUACCUCCAUUUUAUAGUUGAGGAAACAGAGGCUUGGAAAGGUUAAGUGAAUUGUCCCAGCUCAUACAGCAAGCCAGGUCUGCACUGGGACUAGCACCUGGCUCUUUUGACUCCCAGGCCCAUCACUUUCCCCCAGUCCAUUGAGGCAGAAUAUGAAUGGAACCUGCUUUGGUAAAAAUGGAUCUCUGAUUGCUGUUCUGAAAACUGAGGCCGAAACAGGAGCAAUGAGGAUUGUCAUUAAGGUUGGU